UGUCAUGAGGCCAGCCUCAUGACAGUUUUGGUGUUUGUUUUUGUCUGCCUGUCACCUUCCCCUCCCCCCUUGCACUCUGUCACCUCUGCUGGACCUGCCUACCUCCCACUCCACACCUGCCCUUCUGCUGCAAUCAAGCCACCUGGUUUCCAUCAGCUCAUCACCCAGUCUGCACUUAGUUCCUGUCCCUACCUUCAGUCUCUGCCGGAUCGUCACUCAGUGUACACGUCCUUCCUGCCUGCCCGUCUGCCAGCCCAGCCAUCACCUCAAGCCCUCCAGCCGUCAUCCCCCCUCCCCCCGGACCAGCACCCUUCCUUCCCCGCAUUCCCUCAUCUCAAAUAAACUUUUUCUUUCGUCA